rnacentral:ribozyme from 1 species
CACAUCUUUGGGCUGUAGGGGUGCGUGCCAAGGCCUACAAGCUCUUUGAGAGCUAUCUCUCCUACAGGGCGCUCUUUGUUGCCUCUAAUGGUGAGGUCUCAGAGCA